rnacentral:rRNA from 1 species
UACAGAGGGUGCGAGCGUUGUUCGGAAUUAUUGGGCGUAAAGGGCGCGUAGGCGGCGCCACAAGUCACUUGUGAAAACUCUGGGCUCAACUCAGAGCCUGCAAGCGAAACUGUGGUGCUGGAGUAUGGGAGAGGUGCGUGGAAUUCCCGGUGUAGCGGUGAAAUGCGUAGAUAUCUGGAGGAACACCGGUGGCGAAGGCGGCAUCCUGGACCAACACUGACGCUGAGGAGCGAAAGCCAGGGGAGCAAACGGG